UAUUCAACCCAUUAACCAACGCCCCAAGAUCACCUUGAAGACUAACUUAGCUUAUUUACAAUUCCCAACUAUUGUUUAAGCUUUUCUUAGCACUUCUAAUGAGAGUAAAGACCCCUAACUACACUGUAAAUAAUAUGGAUUUUGUCAUUACCAAAAACAUUACCUAAUUUAAAUAGGAAGUUAGCCAUCAAAUUGGCCUCUAUUUCUAGACAUUUUACAUGGGACUUUCGAUGACCUUGGCAAGGCUGCAAAAGCUCGAUUUGCGGACUGCAGAAUGAAAGCUUCUGCGCCAUGAAUGAACCGGUUGAGAAGAAGGCCAAAAGCCUACAGAAGGACAGAGCUUCGGGAGAAAGGGAGGGUCUAUCUACAGGUCAAGGAGCCAUCCGAAGGAUGUGUGGGCUGUCAAUUAAAUGUAAACAACAUAUAAAAAUGUCCAAGGAUAAAAUGAAUGAACUAAAAUAUUUCUGUCUUACAAUUUAAUAUAAGUAAUGUGGACCAGAAUAUAUGGCUUGCUAUAGAUAGAGUUUAAAACAUAUAAGUAAUACUUGCAGCAACCAUCCAAUCACAUUCAGUAAAUAGACUUCAGCAGGUUAUGUGACCACAACUCAGCACAAAUUUAAUACGAUUUUGUUAUAAUUUAAUCGUCAAAAGCUGACUUUAUUAACCCUAAUGCGGUAAAUAUAUUUAAUAAACAACUUAAACCGA